GCUAGUGUAGCUUAUUUAAUAGCCUAGCACUGAAGAUGCUAAGGUAAAGUUUUAAAAACUUUCACAAGCA
rnacentral:tRNA from 1 species